rnacentral:rRNA from 1 species
AACGAACGCUGGCGGCAUGCCUAACACAUGCAAGUCGAACGAGACCUUCGGGUCUAGUGGCGCACGGGUGCGUAACGCGUGGGAAUCUGCCCUUGGGUUCGGAAUAACAGUUGGAAACGACUGCUAAUACCGGAUGAUGACGUAAGUCCAAAGAUUUAUCGCCCAGGGAUGAGCCCGCGUAGGAUUAGCUAGUUGGUGGGGUAAAGGCCUACCAAGGCGACGAUCCUUAGCUGGUCUGAGAGGAUGAUCAGCCACACUGGGACUGAGACACGGCCCAGACUCCUACGGGAGGCAGGAGUGGGGAAUAUUGGACAAUGGGGGAAGGCCUGAUCCAGCAAUGCCGCGUGAGUGAUGAAGGCCUUAGGGUUGUAAAGCUCUUUUACCCGGGAUGAUAAUGACAGUACCGGGAGAAUAAGCCCCGGCUAACUCCGUG